rnacentral:rRNA from 1 species
AUGACGAGCAAGCAGGAGCCCUGGACUCGACUUUCCCACAGUAAGAAGUUACCAGGAUGGGUCGCGUACAAUCCAAAGACCAUGAGGCCUCCACCAUUGAGCGGCGAUACCAAGCAAAUGAAGAUUCUAUCCUGGAAUGUCAAUGGGCUGAGAAAUAUUGUACAGUCAGGAGGUUUCUUUUCUGCAUUGGCUCAGAGGGAGAAUUUUGAUGUGUUGUGUCUUCAAGAGACACAUUUGAAGGAGGGUGAUGUUAAAGAUUUCAUGAACCUGAUACCAGGGUAUGAGUAUAAUUAUUGGUCAUGCAGUGUCGCGAGGCUUGACUAUUCAGGGACUGGAGUAAUUUCACGGGUAAAACCAAUCUCUGUCCAAUAUGGAAUUGGCAUAGCUGAACAUGAUCAGGAGGGCAGGGUUAUUACUUUGGAGUUUGAGAACUUCUACUUGGUGAAUGCUUAUGUCCCAAAUUCUGGCCGUGGUUUACGUAGAUUGGUUUACAGGGUUGAUAACUGGGAUCCAUCUUUCGCCGACUUUGUCGAAAAACUGGAAAGUUUCAAGCCAGUAAUUGUUUGUGGUGAUCUCAACUGUGCUCGUCAGAGUAUUGACAUUCACAAUCCUCCAGCCAAAACUGAAGAUGCAGGUUUCACCGAAGAAGAGAGGGAAUCAUUCCAGAUAAACUUUGAUAUGAGAGGCUUCGUUGAUACCUUCAGAAAGCAGCAUCCCAAGGCUGUGGGUUACACCUUCUGGGGUGAAAAUCAGCGGCGCAACAACAAAGGUUGGCGGCUGGAUUACUUUCUUGCGUCAGGAUCCAUCAUCGACAGGGUCCAUGAUUCGUACAUCCUCCCGGACGUGACAUCCAGCGACCACAGUCCAAUUGGCCUUGUGCUCAAGCUCUAG